CACACACAGGAGCGAAGGCAGCAGAGCCAAGCAGGAACCCGUCCUGCCCCAGGCCUGAGCUUUCUUAAGAGGCUCAUGGGGCAGAAAGCAACUGCACUGAGGCCAGAUCCCAAACUGAGCUCUGACGAGAUGGAGAAGCAAAGGACACAGUUCCUGCCCCCAAGGAGCUCCCAGCCAAGCAGGAGAGAAGGCUGUGGAAAUGAUCCUUCUGAUACCACAGCCUGCCAAUGUCAUCUAGAACUCUGGGGGAUUGGGGGAUUUGGUUUUAAAAAAAAACCCUGUCCUUAGCCAGGUGUGGUGGUGGGCGCCUGUAAUCCCAGCUACUUGGGAGGCUGAGGCAGGAGAAUCACUUGAACCCAGGAGUUGGAGACUGCAGUGAGCCAAGACUGUGCCACUGCACUCCAGCCUGGGUGACAGAGUGAGACUCUGUCUCAAAACAAAAAAUGAAAAACAAAAAUGAAAAAGAAAAACAAAAACAAAACCUUGUCUUGUAUUUUUGACUUUUAUUUUAUCCAAAUCAGGACUCCUGAAGAAUAUUUGACCUCAUAACUAUUGGGGGACACUGGGGCUCUCUGCCCAGGGACAGGAUGUUCUCUGCAGAUAUCAGGACGUGGGUGCCGAUGACAAGGGCGCUUUGCUGCCAUGGCCCGGGGCUGGAAGCACAGCUGUCAAAGGCCUGUGCUGGGGGCUUUCUGAGAGGUCAUCCGAUGAGAUGCUCACAGAGGCGUUGGAUGUGAUAGAGGAGGACCUGGGAUGCCAAGAAGAGGAACCGCAUGAAGGCUUGCAGCUAGCAGCGGGCACAGCGGAGACUCGACCCUGGCGAUCUUGGAGGAGGAAAUAUGUCAGAACCGACAUGAGCACUGACCAGCCUACCAGGUCCUUUCCAAUCGCAGUGAAAUCAGCCGUUAAAGAUGCUCAUCUCAAGAGGAGAACGAGUCUCUUAUGCUUCUGGGGAGAAAUCACCAUCUGGUGAGGGUUUCCUGGCCUUUGGGGGUCCCCCUGCCACCUCCUCUGAGCCAUCUGGGGCUCCCCUGCAUUUUCCCCUUACUUGAGAACUGUAACCCUUAGGGAUCAGAGGGA